rnacentral:rRNA from 1 species
AGCGAACGCUGGCGGCAGGCCUAACACAUGCAAGUCGAACGAAGCCUUCGGGCUUAGUGGCGGACGGGUGAGUAACACGUGGGAACGUACCUUUUGGUUCGGAACAACUCAGGGAAACUUGAGCUAAUACCGGAUGAGCCCUUAGGGGGAAAGAUUUAUCGCCGAAAGAGCGGCCCGCGUUAGAUUAGCUAGUUGGUGAGGUAAAGGCUCACCAAGACUACGAUCUAUAGCUGGUCUGAGAGGAUGAUCAGCCACACUGGGACUGAGACACGGCCCAGACUCCUACGGGAGGCAGCAGUGGGGAAUCUUGCGCAAUGGGCGAAAGCCAGACGCAGCCAUGCCGCGUGAACGAUGAAGGUCUUAGGAUUGUAAAAUUCUUUUGCCAGGGACGAUAAUGACGGUACCUGGAGAAAAAGCCCCGGCUAACUUCGUGCCAGCCGCCGCGGUAAAAC